AGGAACUCACAGGUCUGGGGGUGGGGUGAUGGGAGGAGCGGGAACAGUUUAACCCUGUCUGUUACAUUCUCUCCUCUGGUUUUCAGGGUUUUCAAUCUUGAAGAUAGAUCGUUAUGUAGGUGCUGGCCCAUACCCUUGGAACUUUUGAACUUGCUGACCAGUGUAAUCAUGUACACUGUAUGAUCUGAGGUUUGUUGAGUUAAGGGGAAUGCAGUCAGUCACCUGAAGCAUCAUGAUGUUCACAGCUGCUAGGCGAUUUUGAAUGAACCCGGUAAGACAGUAUAACAGGCAGAGCAAAAACAGGUAGAUUAGUAAAAAAAUUAUAAGUGGAGUGACAAGGAGCCAGAGCCAGUGGGAACUGGAAAACAGGGAAUGUAUCUAAGAACACAAAUCGGAUGGAGUUUUUAGCUGCUGUAAAAAGAGAAGGAAGCACACAAUGAUUGCCAAGACAGUAAAGGCGAUGUAAACAUUAAGAGAACAAUCCAGAGGGAGGGUCUCCCAGUUGGAGUGGCAUAGGUUAGACAUUAGCUCUGUUUUUCUUUUUGAACAAAUAUUUUAAGUCUUGCACAGGCUCGUAGGUCUAGUUGUUUUGUUGAGGUUUUUCUUGUUGCAAAGGAUCUUCUGGAGAUGGUGCAGGUUUGAGGCGAGUGUGAUGCACACAAGCUUGAUGUUUUUGAGUUUAGCUGCCAAGGGGAGGGCUAGAACAACAGUGUACGGUCCAGUUCACUGGGGUUCAAGGGGCUCCACUUUCCGGAUUUUCAGCAGAACUUGGCCACCAGACAAGUGGGUGAAGGUGGGCAUCAACAGAUUAUUUCUGAAGGCUGAGAACAUGCCUGUGAACAGAAGAUAGGAAAUCAGACAGAGACAACAAAUAUUUUUGGAGAGCAAGCUCCCUGGUGACAGAAACUGGAGUAUUGGUUGAAGCACCUUUUCUGCUGCUGUGACAGCCCUGCAAGGACUACAAUAGACCACACCAAGGGCUGACUUUGGUGUACCCAAGGUAGGACAGCCUGCUGCUCUACACUCAGAUCUGUGGAAAAGGAUGUCAGUGAAGAAGAAGAUCCUUGGGGUUGUCCAGAUCCUGAUUGGCUUGAUAAACCUCACCUUGGGAAUAACGAUGAUGUCUGUCUCGUUGCCAAAUGAUGGACCAAAACCCAUUUCAGUAUACUCAGGUUACACUAUAUGGGGGUCAGUAGUGUUUAUUGUUUCAGGGGCCUUGCUAAUUCCAGAAGAAAAUAGAGGAUAUAGAGGUGCAUAUUUGGUGAGAAAUAUUUCCUUUUUUUUUUU